rnacentral:lncRNA from 1 species
GCGAAUAAAGGGCUCUACCUAUCGUGGAAUCAGUCCAGCUAGAUCCCCGUCCCACCCGGACGGCAGUCGCCCCUCUGCGUUAACCCUUCCACUGCCCUAGUGAGGUGGGAAAGGGGGUCCUUGAGAGCCCUAUGGCCCAGGAGAGACCGGGCAGAACUGAUUCGGCCAAGGGCAGCAUGAGGUGUGGGAGGAGCACGGCACAAGGAGUCAAGCCUCCUGCGUUCUAGCCCAGGCUCUCUUCGCACAGAGGCCUUAGGCAAGACCCUCCCCCGGAUGGAGACCGGAUUCCGUGAUUUUCUAAACACCAGCUACCAGAGCUUAUGACUCUGAGGGGCCAAACCAGGGAAGAUGAGGCUCCCUUUGCACCCAAAAUUUGGGGAGAGGCAAAAGGGGACCGGAUGCCCUAGCGUGGCAGAAUCCGGCGAAGCUCCUUCCAACUUCUCAGAACCUCCACUCUAUGGAUCUGGACCUCUGGAUUCGGCUUUCUCCCUGGGCACUGCCUUCAGGAAGACGUUGAGAAUUGACCUUACACAAUCCCAGCGCCCUCCUCACAGGAGCCUUUCACUUCACAGUGGCGAGGGGCUGGUUCUGGGGAACUGGCUGAUGCUCUGAAUUUCUUCAUAUACCCCACAUUUGACUUUGGCUUACACUGUACAAUUGGAGAUGUUGCUACAGGUCCCUGAGAUGCAAUCAGAUUAAGCGUAGCAAGCAUUGCCAAUGGGAAAGUCAAAAUAAUUUAUUUUUUUCGCUUUCCCCCUACCCCAUCCCCAGCCAAGAAUGUCUUUUAAAGAUAUCGUCAUCAUUCUUAAACAACAUUCUUAACCCCCAGCUGGGGUCCCCAUUUUAGUAGAUGUCAUUGCUUCAAGUCUAACGGCGCCGGGAGGCCUGUUUGAGGGAAAACAUUAGUUUGAAAAAUCCCCGU